rnacentral:rRNA from 1 species
UACAGAGGGUGCUAGCGUUGUUCGGAAUCAUUGGGCGUAAAGGGCGUGUAGGCGGUUUGUUAAGUCAUGUGUGAAAUCCCUCGGCUCAACCGGGGAACGACGCAUGAAACUGGCAAGCUAGAGUACCAAAGAGGGGGGUGGAAUUCCCGGUGUAGCGGUGAAAUGCGUAGAUAUCGUAAGGAAGACCAGUGGCGAAGGCGGGUCUCUGGACAGUUCCUGACGCUGAAGCACGAAGGCCAGGGGAGCAAACGGG